rnacentral:rRNA from 1 species
CCUACGGGAGACAGCAGUGAGGAAUAUUGGUCAAUGGACGCAAGUCUGAACCAGCCAUGCCGCGUGCAGGAAGACGGCACUAUGUGUCGUAAACUACUUUUGUCCGAGGGCAAAGGCUGAUACGCGUCCCCGUCUGAAAGUACCUUACGAACAAGCAUCGGCUAACUCCGUGCCAGCAGCCGCGGUAAUACGGAGGAUUCAAGCAUUGUCCGGAUUUAUUGGGUGUAAAGGGUGCGUAGGCGGUCGGAUAAGUUAGGGGUGAAAUCCCGAGGCUCAACUUCGGCAUUGCCUCUGAUACUGGUCGGCUAGAGAGUGGGAGCGGUAUGCGGAAUGUAUGGUGUAGCGGUGAAAUGCAUAGAGAUCGUGCAGAACACCGAUUGCGAAGGCAGCUUACC